GACGUAGGGCGCGAGCGUUGUCCGGAUUUAUUGGGCGUAAAGAGCUCGUAGGCGGCUUGUUGCGUCGACUGUGAAAACCCGCGGCUUAACUGCGGGCUUGCAGUUGAUACGGGCAGGCUAGAGUUCGGUAGGGGAGACUGGAAUUCCUGGUGUAGCGGUGAAAUGCGCAGAUAUCAGGAGGAACACCGGUGGCGAAGGCGGCAUCCUGGACCGAUACUGACGCUGAGGAGCGAAAGCGUGGGGAGCGAACAGG
rnacentral:rRNA from 1 species